rnacentral:lncRNA from 10 species
AAAUAAGAGAAUAUUAUGAAUAAUUUUAUGCUGAUGAAUUAGGAAAUAGAUAAAUGACAGUUUCCUAGAAGAAAUAAUUAACAAAAUGGAACUCAACUAUGCAUAGACUUAUGACCAUUAACAAAAUGAAAUCUGCCACACAAAUGACCACACCCCAGUGAUUUUACAGGAGAUUGCUACCAAAAAAGUUAAGAAACAGAUUAUCCCAAACUUAUACAAAUGCUUCCAGAUAAAGAACAAUGGGAACAAACAGCUCAUUCUAUAAGGGUAGCAUAACCUUGAAAUCAAAUCAAACAAAAUAAUAAAUGAGAAUUCAUCCUCACUCAUGGCUACUGAAACAGAUAUCUUAAAUUAAAUCAGAAUUUAGAAAUCCACAUAUUCACACAUACAUGUACAUAUUUUUUUUAUUGGGUUUACUUCAGGAAUGCAAGCAUAAUUUUACAGUAAAAAGCUCUUACAAAUGGCACAGUUGCUCGCCCCUGUAAUCCCAGCUACCUAGGAGGCUGAGGUAGGAGGACCACUGGAGCCCAAUUGUCUAGGAGUUUGAAGCUGAAUGAGCUAUAAUUGCACCCUGCACACUCCAGCCUGGACACCAGAAACUCCAGAAAAAAAAAAAAAAAACACCUCUGUCAAUGUAAUUCACCAUAGUAAAACAAAUUAAAUAAGAGAAAUUAUUUGAUUCAUUUGAUCAGACACAGGAAAACCAUUGAUAUAAAUGCACAUCCAUUCACAAAAUGUUUUAAAAACCUUAACAAACUACAUAAAGAAACUUCCUUAAUCUAAUAAAAUGUAUCUACCAAAAAUGCAGAGUAAACAGCAUCCUAGUUAAUAAUUAGACAUUUAAAGUCAGUAACAAUAAUGCGUUCUAUUAUUACGUCUACUCAAUAUUAUUCUAGAGGUUCUAACCAUGGCAGUGAGACAAGAAUAGGCAGUAAAUUAAAAACCUAUAUUCAGGGGCCAGGCGCCUUGGUUCACGCCUAUAAUCCCAACACUUUGGGAGGCCUAAGUGGAAGCAUCGCCUGGAGCCAGGUGUUUGAGAGCAGCCCAGACAACAUAGUGAGACCUCAUUGCUACAAA